UUUUAAAAGGUUGCAGCAAAAGAACAGAAUAAUGCUACCACUUUGCACCUAACAGCUAGACACAGGGGAAGGAGCCCUGUUCACACAAGACUCACCGAUUUAAGCAGGAGGUGAACAAAUUUGGAGAAAAAUUGUCCCCCUGUAGCCAUGGUCACAGUGGUAGGACUUGAGUUCAAGGAAGGUCAUGCACUGCAGGUGCCCAACCAGGUCAGCAGAGAGAGACCAUAGCCACCACUCCACAGAGCCUGGCUGGGGUAGUGGGCUGCCACAGUCCCUCGGCACCUCUGGAGUUGCGCAGUGGGAUGCCAGCAGAUGUCUUGCAAGCUCUACAGGAUGCUAAGCUCAACACCAGCUGACAGAAAUGCCUUCCAAGGCCUUUGUUCGAACAACAGGGCAUCUUAGGUGGUGUUAAAAGUUUUGGCCAGCCUUCUAACCUAGGCUAAUGGAACAUUUUCUCAGAAGAAAAUACUCCAGUCCUGGUUUUCGGACUCCAGGGAAACCAGGAAAUGAAGUUGAGGAUCAGAUUUAGUAGCUGGUUAUGCCAUUUGAUCAUGCAAAGCUCCCAGGAAAGAACCACAAGCAAAAAGAAAACAGAAAACUGUAAAGACAAGGGCUUCCAGUGCAAAAUUUGACUCCAGGGUGCCAAAUGAAAGUAGAAAAACAUAAAAAAUACAAAACUUGAAUAAUUUUUUAUCUUUAUUUCCUGAAAACUCUAGCUGACAGUCACAUCUCACCUAAAUUCUAAUACAUGUUUUUUCCUGAUUUAUAUGCAAAACAAAUAAAAUUACUGCUUUGUUACCUGAAGGUGCUAUCUGUGUUUCUUCUCUUACUUUCAGAUAUCUUUGUUUCUGUGCUGUUGCUCAGACUCUCCUUUCCCCAUGUCACCAGUAUUGUCUUCCAAUCCUUCUGUUCUAACACCUUCUCUAAAUUAGGUUUUCUUUCAGAGUGUUUUUUCUCUUUCUUUCUGUAUUGUCAGUGUACAAUCUCAAUUGUACCUAGUAACUGUCAGUGUAACUUGAAAGGCUAGAGCACAGUGGACUGGAUGUCUGAGAGUCAGUGUUCUUUGCAACUGCUAAUAGCUUGAGCAGGUCUGUUUUUCAAUAUUACACAUUUUCACCCCAUUUCUAUUAAUGCAGGUAGAGCUAUCCGCCUUUCUCGGCAAAUUGUCAUGAUGUUCCAAGAGCUAUAUAGAUAGCAAACAAUGUUGGUAGCAGAAAAAGAGGAAAGAUUCCAUCAUCAGAACAAAAUGGACCUAAAGGUUUUAUAAAUGAAAGGCCAAUUAUUCUCUGAGGUUCAUGGGGGGCCACUUGGACUGUAAUCAGUCUUGAGAAUGUGAAGGCAGAGCAGGACCUUGACUGUCUGUAUCUGGACUUUGUCAGGCCAUUCAUCUGUGACCAGAAUUGUAUCGUUACUCUGGUUUUCAAUAAAGGGAUGUUCACCGAA